GAUGAAGAACGUAGUGAAAUGCGAUAAGUAAUGUGAAUUGCAGAAUUCAGUGAAUCAUCGAAUCUUUGAACGCACAUUGCGCCCCCUGGUAUUCCGGGGGGCAUGCCUGUUCGAGCGUCAUUUCACCACUCAAGCCUCGCUUGGUAUUGGGCGACGCGGUCCGCCGCGCGCCUCAAAUCGACCGGCUGGGUCUUCCGUCCCCUCAGCGUUGUGGAAACUAUUCGCUAAAGGGUGCCGCGGGAGGUCACGCCGCAAAACAACCCCAUUUCUAAGGUUGACCUCGGAUCAGGUAGGGAUACCCGCUGAACUUAAGCAUAUCAAUAAGCGAGGA
rnacentral:misc_RNA from 1 species